rnacentral:misc_RNA from 1 species
AAAGUCGUAACAAGGUUUCCGUAGGUGAACCUGCGGAAGGAUCAUUAGCAAGUUCGAGGACGUCUCGACCGGACCCGCGAGGGGACGGCGACGGCGUCCCGAUGCAAGGAAGUCGUAGAGGCCGUGCGGGCCGGAAGAACCCGCCCGCACGUCCAGCUUCGCUCGUCCACAAACCCUUUCUGCGUACCAUCCCUCGUUGCUUUCCCGGACCCACGGGUCGUUUGAGCGUCCCGUCCGGGAACAGACCAAAGCCAUUUGCUAAGCAGUCGUCUGACGGGAUGGCCCGCAAGCCAUCGUGAACUAGAAAACUUAAAACUUUCAACAACGGAUCUCUUGGUUCUC